GAUGAAGAACGUAGCGAAAUGCGAUAAGUAAUGUGAAUUGCAGAAUUCAGUGAAUCAUCGAAUCUUUGAACGCACAUUGCGCCCGUCAGUAUUCUGGCGGGCAUGCCUGUUCGAGCGUCAUUACGCCCCUCAAGUCCCCUGUGGACUUGGUGUUGGGGAUCGGCGAGGCUGGUUUUCCAGCACAGCCGUCCCUUAAAUUAAUUGGCGGUCUCGCCGUGGCCCUCCUCUGCGCAGUAGUAAAACACUCGCAACAGGAGCCCGGCGCGGUCCACUGCCGUAAAACCCCCCAACUUUUUAUUGUUGACCUCGAAUCAGGUAGGACUACCCGCUGAACUUAAGCAUAUCAAUAAGCGGAGGA
rnacentral:misc_RNA from 1 species